CGCUGAACACAGCUCAGUAGCACGUGGCUAACCUGCCCUUGGGACGGGAACAACCCCGGGAAACUGGGGCUAAUCCCCGAUAGGUGAAGAUUCCUGGAAUGGGUUUUUGCCGAAAAGACGUUUAGGGCAUGCUUCUAAGCGCUGCCCAAGGAUGGGGCCGCGGCCGAUCAGGUUGUUGGUGAGGUAAUGGCUCACCAAGCCUUUAACCGGUUCGGGCCGUGGGAGCGGUAGCCCGGAGAUGGGCACUGAGACAAGGGCCCAGGCCCUACGGGGCGCAGCAGUCGCGAAAACUUCGCAAUAAGCGAAAGCUUGACGGGGCCAUCCCGAGUGCCAUCUGCUGAGGAUGGCUUUUACCCAGUAUAGAUAGCUGGGGGAAUAAGGAGAGGGCAAGUCUGGUGUCAGCCGCCGCGGUAAUACCAGCUCUCCGAGUUGUGGGGACGUUUAUUGAGCCUAAAGCAUCCGUAGCCGGCUGGGCAAGUCCUCUGUUAAAUCCAGCGACAAAUCGUUGGCCUGCGGGGGAUACUGCUCGGCUAGGGGGCGGGAGAGGCCGUCGGUAUUCUUGGGGUAGGGGUGAAAUCCUAUAAUCCCAGGAGGACCACCAGUGGCGAAGGCUGUCGGCUAGUACGCGCCCGACGGUGAGGGAUGAAAGCUGGGGGAGCGAACCGGAUUAGAUACCCGGGUAGUCCCAGCAGUAAACGAUGCAGGCUCGGUGUUAGGGCGAAUACGUGCCGCUCUAGUGCCGCAGGGAAGCUGUUAAGCCUGCCGCUUGGGGUUACCGCCCGGUAGGCUGAAC
rnacentral:rRNA from 1 species